rnacentral:rRNA from 1 species
GACGAACGCUGGCGGCGUGCUUAACACAUGCAAGUCGAACGGAAAGGCCCUGCUUUUGUGGGGUGCUCGAGUGGCGAACGGGUGAGUAACACGUGAGUAACCUGCCCUUGACUUUGGGAUAACUUCAGGAAACUGGGGCUAAUACCGGAUAGGAGCUCCUGCUGCAUGGUGGGGGUUGGAAAGUUUCGGCGGUUGGGGAUGGACUCGCGGCUUAUCAGCUUGUUGGUGGGGUAGUGGCUUACCAAGGCUUUGACGGGUAGCCGGCCUGAGAGGGUGACCGGCCACAUUGGGACUGCGAUACGGCCCAGACUCCCACGGUAGGCAGCAGUGGGGAAUAUUGCACAAUGGGCGGAAGCCUGAUGCAGCAACGCCGCGUGCGGGAUGACGGCCUUCGGGUUGUAAACCGCUUUCGCCUGUGACGAAGCGUGAGUGACGGUAAUGGGUAAAGAAGCACCGGCUAACUACGUG